CUACUCCAUUCCCCUUCCUCCUGUGGGAUCAUUCUACCCCAUUCCCCUUCCUCCUGCAAUUUCUGUCUUCCUUUCCCUUUUCUUCAGAUGGGGUCUCUUGCACCAUCUACCAUCAACAGUUUUCCAUUCACAAAACUUCCUCACUGUGGGGCUUCCUCCCAUCCUUCAACUCUGCCUCUUCUGAUACUCUCAAGUCAGAAUAUUUCGUUCACCAUCAGGAAACGAGAUGGAAUAUGCAGAGUUUACAGGGUCACACCGACAGACUAAAUUGCGGACAUUCGAUGAACACCCUGGAGCUGGUCAGUGAGGGACAUUGACAGUAAUGGGAACUCCGAUCUGAAGGGUUUAAUGUUUCCUGAAAUAUCCAAGCGAGAGAAUUCCCCCAGACCCGCAGUUUAAAUCACUUAGUUCAUCAAUUUGUCUGUUUGUGUUCAGACUUCGGUUGAAUAAUCUGGGAUAUUCAGGAGUGAAACUGGUGUCUGUAGCUCUGAGGAACCCGGAAUGUAAAAUACAGACACUGUGGCUGGAGAAGGAUGGUCUCACAGAUUCUGGUGCUGAGGAUCUCAUCUCUGCUUUCAGUACAAACCCAUCACUGAGGGAUCAGAACCUGAGAUUAAACUCGCUCACAGACCUAUCUGUCCCCGCUCUCUGCUGUCUCAUAUUGACCUAUCUGAGUUUGAAGUGGAUCGGGCUGGGUGCGAAUCACUUCACUGAGAUCGGGAGGAAGGAACUGGGAUCUCUGCAGGAACUCAGACCCGGACUGGGAGUGGUCGUAUGAAGAUCUGAAUGUGUGAACAUCCCCGCCCACGAGGUGGGGACAUUUUGACCAAUUUCCUGCUCUCCUCUUCAGCGGCUGAGCUCCAGGUUCAAUUCCCAACAGUUUUAAUGGACCCUGGGUCCAGCCGAGUGCUCUGUGACAUCAGAGGCUGUCCUGAAGUGAUGUAAUUCUGCCAACUGUCCAGCAGUGCUGCUUCUGGUGCAUGUCCAAGUUGGAGAGCUCCCUGCGUGAGUUCCCGAGGAGUUACACCGACAGGAAGAGCCCGGGGACAGAGGCUCAGUCUGGGUCAGCAGUGUCGCAUGGUGGGAUUAUCCGGGGAGAAAAUCCUUUUGCUCACUUUGCUGAGGACAGUGCAUUCCACAGUCUGGCUACUAUAAUGAUGUUAUAUUGGCAAAUACCUUGGCAGUGACCCUGGAUCUGCAGUGAUCUCAGACUCUGCCUUGAAGUGUGAUUUUAUAUUCAUCGGUUCCACAAUGCAGAGUGAUGGUGAGAAACGGGACUGAUUAUUCAACCUGUCACUCGUUGUCACCGGUCAGUUAAUUGAGUGUGACUGUGGGAGGUUGCAGUCCCUGUUUGAGUAUCUGACGGGGCUGCUGCUCAGAUUCUGCUGUACUCCUCAUAUAUGGGUAUCCAGCACAGAAGAGGGAGGGUCAGAAGGAGGAUUUCUUAGUGGUCUUGCCCCUGGGCCUGGCCAAGACAGUCUUUCACAGGUCUAGCCAGUGGAAAGUGGAGGGCUCCGCCUGGGCUGACUGUCUCCCCUCUUGUGAGGAUGCAUUCAUGCCCGGCUGUCCUCCGAGAGGGAGCAUGCGGUCGCAAUGGGUACAUUGGGGGAUUUCCAGGAGUGGUGGGCCCCUAACAGAA